rnacentral:rRNA from 1 species
GACGAACGCUGGCGGCGUGCUUAACACAUGCAAGUCGAACGAUGAAGAAGAGAAACGCGAACUUCGGUUCAAAUUUCACUUCGGAUUAGUGGCAGACGGGUGAGUAACGCGUGAGCAACCUACCUCUUACAAAGGGAUAGCCUCGGGAAACCGUGAUUAAUACCAUAUGACACAUUCAUAAGGCAUCUUAAGAAUGUUAAAGCUACGGCGGUAAGAGAUGGGCUCGCGUCCCAUUAGCUAGUUGGUGAGGUAACGGCCCACCAAGGCGACGAUGGGUAACCGGGCUGAGAGGGUGAACGGUCACAUUGGAACUGAGACACGGUCCAAACUCCUACGGGAGGCAGCAGUGGGGAAUAUUGCACAAUGGAGGGAACUCUGAUGCAGCGACGCCGCGUGAGCGAUGAAGGAAUUCGUUUAGUAAAGCUCUGUUCUAUGGGAAGAAAAGGACUGUACCAUAGGAGAAAGCCCCGGCUAAAUACGUG